ACGAAGUCUUCGGACUGAGUGGCGGACGGGUGAGUAACACGUGAGAACCUGCCUUAAGGUCGGGGAUAACAGUUGGAAACGACUGCUAAUACCGGAUGUGCCUACGGGUGAAAGAUUUAUUGCCUAAAGAUGGGCUCGCGUCUGAUUAGCUAGUUGGAGUGGUAAUGGCACACCAAGGCGACGAUCAGUAGCUGGUCUGAGAGGAUGAUCAGCCACACUGGGACUGAGACACGGCCCAGACUCCUACGGGAGGCAGCAGUGGGGAAUUUUCCGCAAUGGGCGAAAGCCUGACGGAGCAAGACCGCGUGAGGGAGGAAGGCUCUUGGGUUGUAAACCUCUUUUGUCAGGGAAGAACACAAUGACGGUACCUGACGAAUCAGCAUCGGCUAACUCCGUGCCAGCAGCCGCGGUAAUACGGAGGAUGCAAGCGUUAUCCGGAAUUAUUGGGCGUAAAGCGUCCGCAGGUGGUUGUACAAGUCUGCUGUCAAAGCGCGGAGCUUAACUCCGUAAAGGCGGUGGAAACUGUGCGACUAGAGUUCGGUAGGGGUCGCGGGAAUUCCCAGUGUAGCGGUGAAAUGCGUAGAUAUUGGGAAGAACACCGGUGGCGAAAGCGCGCGACUGGACCGAGACUGACACUCAUGGACGA
rnacentral:rRNA from 1 species